GAAAAACCUUCUAGUCCAUAGCUCCUGAAGAAAAACGAGCUGAAGCGAAUAUGGAGAAACAGCUUCCUCCACGGAAAAUGCAGAGGCAUGCAACGCGGCGGAUGCAAGUUUGCUAAUUGAAAUUAUUCGCAAAGAUCUAGUAGAAUUAAAACUGGAGGUGCUGCGAAACGAUCCUUUUUUGACGCUAUACUCGGUUAAAACUAUCGACGCUUUGCACUUGAUGCCGGAACUGCCCACCCCGAGAGCAGAUGAGCGCUGGGGAAUGUUUUCAGCCACCUGGAGGAGGAAGUUCAGCGCGGAAGAAAUGUUACCAGACUUCGCCGAUCUGGUAUCUGGACUUUUUUGAUGAUCUCAUAGAGAUUGGGUGUGCAGAUGGGCGUUUAAAGUUCUGGGAGGGAACGACUGGUAACUUUUAGGAUAUAUAUGAAGCUGAAAACAACCGCAACAAUGGGGUAACUAACAUAAACCUCGCCGGUGACAAAGUGAUAGUUGCACGGUUGAGUGAACGAAUCGAUUUUCUGAGACUGGAAACGUACACGUAAGGUUUUCAGAUCGAUUGGGGAUUUACGUCUGCAUAUGGGCGAAGUAAGUUCUAUGUUUCAAGCAAUUUUUUAAGCUCACCUAGGGCGCAGACAGAUUUUACUUGUUCUUUUAAAAUACUGUAUAUUCUAAGUCAUUUAAUUUUCAGUCUGUAAUGAGUAUGUCAUCAAGUGCCUUAAUUCUUUUUCUUUUUAGCCCACGUACACAGCGGUUCGGCAGGAAGCAUUAGUUUAUUUCAGCAACUCGCCGGCUCAAAUCCGUCCACAGCGUUGCCAGCUCAACAUCACGCAUCCGAGGAGGAGCUUCGAUGUAUCCUGGAGUUUCACCAGCAGGGUCACCGGUGACAUGUUUGGAACCACCUAUUGCAGUUCACCCUAAACGGCCAUUGCGGUCCUAUCACAUGUAUUUUCAUAGACCAGUGGCAGGCCGAGAUGGGCGCAUCUGGUUGCCAGGAUGGUGUGCUAUGUGUGUGGGACUUGAUACGGGGUGCCUGUAUGUACAAAAUUGAAGCCCAUGACGACAUGACGUCGCACUUGCCUGUUCCCCGAGUUACGCAAUAUCGCUCGGACUGAACGAACGAAUACGGUUUUGGGAUAGAUUUCAGGGUUAGCCGCUCAACACCAUGACCGUCAGUCAUGCAUAUUCAUCGCUUGUGAUGCUGACGCUUCUGAACGAAGCCAUUGCUAGCACGAGUUUUUGAUUUGGAAGGAUAGUUGCUGAGGACCAUUCUCACAAUAGUAUAAAAGUUCUAACCUCAAAAACAGACAACAAUAAAAUGUAUUUCUUUCAGAGUUUAUAAUAUCCAUUACAUGAUCAAAUGCGCUGAUGGGUUAGGCUUUGGAUUCGGCUAUAUUCCAUCGUCAUUGAAGCUAGAUCAUAGAAUCAUGUUAAUUUGACAGACUGCAAGUGUUAUU